UACGAAGGGGGCGAGCGUUAUUCGGAAUCACUGGGCGUAAAGCGUGCGUAGGCUGCUUGGAAAGUUGGGAGUGAAAGCCCAGGGCUCAACCCUGGAAUUGCUCUCAAAACUACCAGGCUCGGAUUCGGGAGAGGAUAGCGGAAUUGUCAGUGUAGCAGUGAAAUGCGUAGAUAUUGACAGGAACACCAGUGGCGCAAGCGGCUAUCUGGACCGACAUCGACGCUGAGGCACGAAAGCGUGGGGAUCAAACAGG
rnacentral:rRNA from 1 species